rnacentral:lncRNA from 1 species
CCCACUUGUGCACGCUCUCUCCCUCAAAUACAUAAAUAAAUCUAAAAAAAAAAUGUCUAUAUAUUUUUGGGAGUAAUCAGGAAACAAAACUGCAGGAAGAACACAAGAAGAUCAUAUUACCUUGGAGACUGUGUUGCAGAAUUAAGCUUUGAAAUGCACAUGAUUUUGUGUUUUUCCCUUUGAUUCAGGCUCUGAUGUAAGACUUCCAUAUUUUACAGAGUAUCCCCAUGUCCUUUCUCGUGGCAACUCAAACAGGCCUUCAGAUACAGAUGUGACACGUGGGCAUCAAGCUAAAGCCAUAACUGUCUGAAAGCCACCAGGCUGAUGAUGGACAGGAACUGGAAGCGUGUGGGGUCACGGUCUGCAGCACUGCAGUCAGUCACCCCGCUGCUCCCCUUGCCGUCGGGACAGUGCUGCUGAGACAAGAGAGUGCUCCUCUCAGGAGGGCUUGUUUCUCAUGACCUCAUUGUGAUGACAAAAGGCAGAUUCUGAGCCACUUCCUUCUCCACAGUUUGAAAAAAUGCAGUGAAGUAAAUUGUGCAAGUUCCCGAGCAGCCAGAGGAAAGACCCAUUUAUGUGACCAAGCGAUCUUCAGAAAGGAGAGAUGUAGCCUUCCUCGAAAAGGCUAUCUUCUAGAACUCUCGACUUUUCCAAAAGUAGCCUGACACAGGGCAGAGUGGCCUGCCUCUGCUGGGGAGAUGGCUGGACUGGAGGCACGGUGGUCUUCGGCUCUCUCCUAGAUCCCGGGGUUGCUGGGAGGGAGAGCAGGAGAAGCCUGUUCCUGGGAAGGGUGUGAAGAAUAGAAUAGAAUAGAAGCGCACUUAGUGCAAGUGCCUGUUGAC